CUGGUGUUGGACUCCUAUAUUUGUAUUGUCUAUAUAAAAAAACUGGUAAUCGAAGUCAGUAUAUUUUGUCAUUUGAAUAAAUAUGUUUAAUAUCAUAGUAACCUACAAAGGAACAUGAAAAUAAGUAACCUUUUAUAUAAUCAGCAGUAUUUACCAUAAAUAUAAGACUCCUUGUAUGUUAAAGUAUCAAAGACAUUGUACAACAAACAAACAGAUCUAAAAACAAUAGUAAGGCCAAAUAAAAAAGUAUGUGUGGUUCCAGUUACAUCUGAAAAAAAGUUAGGGUAGGAAGGUAGGGAUUUUUUCUUAUUUUAUGUAUUUUGUUUUACAUUGAGUCUAUGGGAGCAACAUUCUGACUUUAACCGUGGUUAAUGAAAAAUGACAAUAAAAUCUUUAGGGUAGGCUAUUUUAAGUCGAAAAAGUAGGGACGGUAGGGUUACUGGAACCACACAUAUAUUUUUAUUUGGCCUAAUAUAUAAUUACAUGUACAUUUAAAACAUAAAUCAUACAACAAGCACUAUAUAUAAUUAUAAAUUAAAAUAAAUAAAGAAAGAAAACCAACAAAGUGAAUAUAAUUGCACAAUUGGAAAAAAAACAUACAUUAUAUAACUUCUAAAUAAUAAUAUUUUGACAGUGUUGAUUAAAUGCAUGAUCAAGUCAGUUAUCUUUGAAUAACUUCAAAUUUGGGCAAGAUUGACCAUUUUCUAGUAACCCUGACUUUGGUAAUUUUUUUUUUAUGGCAGUGUCGACUCUACGCAACAAAAAUUGUAAAAAUUUUAAGAGCAAGUUCCAAAGGAUAUUGAAGAUAUUCGUACAACUCAUAUAAUCCAGGGCUAUGUCUUUGGUAUACAUGAAGUAAACGUUAACAAUGAUAAAUAUAUGGUAAGUUUAUUUCGAGCUGGAACCCUUUUGUAUUUUCUGUAUUUUCUGUUUAUUUCCUCUUGGUAAUCAAAGUCAGUAUUUUGUUAUUGGACGAAAUAUGUGUAAUAUCAUAGAAACUAUUCAAAGUAACAACAUUCUGAUAAGAAACAUUGUAUAUCAACAGCAGUAUUUUCCAUAAAUAUAAUACUACUUAAAUGUUAAAAAAUUACAUUGUACAAUAAACAAACACAGAUCUAUGAACACUUCAGAAAUUUUUUUUUGUGGUAUUUAAAAAAAAAAUUAAACAACAAGCACCCUAUUUAAUCAUAAUAGAUCAAUACAUACACAUCAACAAUGAAACUAAACUGACGUAAACAAAAUACAUAUAAAUAUAAAUGUCAAGUUUUGAUUUAAUGCAGGACAAAAUGAGUUUUCCUAAAAACUAGAGGCUCUAAACAGCCUGUGUCGCUCACCUUGGUCUAUGUGAAUAUUAAACAAAGGAAGCAGAUGGAUUCAUGACAAAAUUGUGUUUAAGUGAUGGUGAUGUGUUUGUACAUCUUACUUUAAUGAACAUUCUUGCUGCUUACAAAUAUCUCUAUCUAUAAUGAACUUGGCCCAGUAGUUUCAGUGGAAAAUGUUAGUUAAAAUUUACAAAUUUUAUGAAAAUUGUUAAAAAUUGACUAUAAAGGACAAUAACUCCUUAGGGGGUCAAUUGAUCAUUUCCAAAUGUUGACUUAUUUGUAAAUCUUACUUUGCUGAACAUUAUUGCUGUUUACAGUUUAUCUAUAUCUAUAAUAAUAUUCAAGAUAAUAACCAAAAACAGCAAAAUUUCCUUAAAAUUACCAAUUUAGGGACAGCAACCCAACAACGGGUUGUCCGCUUCAUCUGAAAAUUUCAGGGCAGAUAGAUCUUGACCUGAUAAACAAUUUUACUUCAUGUCAGAUUUGCUCUUAAUGCUUUGGUUAUUGAGUUAUAAGCCAAAAACUGCAUUUUACCCCUAUGUUCUAUUUUUAGCCAUGGCGGCCAUCUUGGUUCAAUGGCUGGGUCACCGGACACAUCUUUUAAAGUAGAUACCCCAAAGAUGAUUGUGGCCAAGUUUGGAUUAAUUUGGCCAAGUAGUUUCAGAGGAGAAGAUUUUGUAAAAAGAUAACUAAGAUUUACAAAAAAUGGUUAAAAAUUGACGAUAAAGGGCAAUAACGCCUAAAGGGGUCAACUGACCAUUUCGGUCAUGUUGACUUAAUUGUAGAUCUUACUUUGCUGAACAUUAUUGCUGUUUACAGUUUAUCUCUAUCUGUAAUAAUAUUCAAG
rnacentral:lncRNA from 1 species